UUAAUGUACUUCUUAUAUUAGUAAAUAUUUAUUAAAAAAUUAUACUAAAUGCUAUGAAGUUUAAAAUUAAAGAAAAAAACGCGAAAACUAUAAAGUAAGAGAGAUAAAACUCUGAAAUAUAUCAAAGAAAAUAUCAAAGUUGACAUUACUUUCAACAUAAAUGCCAUAGAAAAAAAGUAAAGACCAAGAAAUUAAUUAGACCCAAAGAAAGAAAAUCAACUCUGGUUUUUGACACAACAAAUAAGAGUUGCUUUUCUUGUUUAUUCUUAAAAACAGCUGCUACGUUCUUACGUAUAAACUAACUACACAUAAACAGUCAACGGAACGUCACAGAACGAAAACGUUACGGAACUUUCAAACUAACUGAGCCUAACUAAUGCAUUUAAAUUGGAGAUAUUGACGCUUAAAACAGAAAUGUUUCCUUGUGCACACACUGCUAACGCGGUUGCAGAAAAAAUAAGAAACACCCUAGCCGAAUAUUAUUUAAAUGACAAAAAAAUAUGCGCUGUCACUGAUGGUGGGACAAAUAUUGUAGCAGCUUUAAGAUCAAGUGAAAUUAUCCGUUAUGGUUGCAGUGCUCAUGCGUUACAUGGUUUUGUGUCGUAUGAUGUUUUAAACAAUGAAGAUUUUAGGCAUAUUAACGUCAUAAUUGGUAAACUAAAGGAUAUAUUUCGCACCUUAAUGUACAGCUCGGCGGAGAUUACAAAACUAAAAAAUUUAGAGCAACAGGAUGAGUUGUUCAAAUUUAUAUUGGAUACUCAAAAAAUGAUUGAAGAACACGAAAAAACGAACAAUUUCCCAGUGGAAAUGACAACUUUGAUGAUCACUUUGAAAAGUCAUUGAUAAUUUCAAUUCCAUCAGACGAGAUGCCAUCAACCAGCAGAGUCGCUUUAGAAAACACCAAAAACAGACAGUAGAAAAUGUCUGAUAGUAGAAGGAAAUGUUAUCAUUUUUGAUUAAUGAAUCAACAAUUGAAAAAAAGACUCAUUAGAAAUGGAAAUAAGAAAAUAUUUCGCUAUAAAUGUAGAAGAAACAUAAAGUAUUGAGUGGUGGCAGGAACACAAAGAGAUUUUUCCAAAUGUCGCUAAACUUGCUAAUGUUUGCUUUGGGAUACCAGCAACAUCUGCCUCAUCCGAGCAAGAAUUUUCCGUCGCUGGGGGUUGUAUCAAUGAAAAAAGAAGCCGCCUAAAUCCAACAAUAAAAAAACAAUUAUUCACGAUAAUUGGACCUCUGCAUAGUAUACUUAACAAGGUACCAACCAAAGUAAAUUAAUAAAGUAGCAUCACUUGAACAGCUGACUAUUUUUUUGAACUAUAGUUUCUAUAGAAAAAUAAAAUUAGUUGUCAAAGUUUGUUCUGAAAUUUGUUAACAUUGCUUAUGUCGCUAUUUUUAAAUUGUGUUUUGCUAUUUGUUAAAAUUUGUGAAAA